UACGAAGGGGGCUAGCGUUGUUCGGAAUUACUGGGCGUAAAGCGCGUGUAGGCGGCCCUGCAAGUCGGGUGUGAAAUCCCACGGCUCAACCGUGGAAGUGCAUUCGAAACUGCAGGGCUAGAGUCCUGGAGAGGAAGGUGGAAUGCUUGGUGUAGAGGUGAAAUUCGUAGAUAUCAAGCGGAACACCGGUGGCGAAGGCGGCCUUCUGGACAGUGACUGACGCUGAGACGCGAAAGCGUGGGGAGCAAACAGG
rnacentral:rRNA from 1 species